UACGUAGGAGGCAAGCGUUGUCCGGAAUCACUGGGCGUAAAGAGCGUGUAGGCGGCUCGGUAAGUCCGCUGUGAAAGUCCAGGGCUCAACCCUGGAAUGCCGGUGGAAACUGUCGGGCUAGAGUCCGGAAGAGGCGAGUGGAAUUCCUGGUGUAGCGGUGAAAUGCGCAGAUAUCAGGUGGAACACCAAUGGCGAAGGCAGCUCGCUGGGACGGUACUGACGCUGAGACGCGAAAGCGUGGGGAGCAAACAGG
rnacentral:rRNA from 1 species